CAGUGAGAUAUCAUCUCACACCAGUCAGAAUGGCUAAAAUUAACAACACACACACAAAAACCCAACAGGCUUCCUCAGCAAGAAUGCUGAGAAAGAGGAGCCCUCUUACACUGUUGGUGGGAAUGCAAACUGGUGUAGCCACUCUGGAAAACAGUUACCAAAAACUGGAUCGUUUCUUGAGAACUGGAGGUUUCUCAAAAAGUUAAAAAUAGAACUACCCCACAUCCAACAAUUGCAUUACUAGGUUUACCCCCAUAAUACAAAAAUACUGAUACAAAGGGAUACAUGCACCCCAAUAUUUAUAGCGGCAUUAUCAACAAUAACCAAAAAAGAGUCCAAAUGCCCAUCGACUGAUGAAUGGAUAAAGAAGAUGUAAUAUAUAUAUAUAUAUAUAUAAUUAAAAAAGAAUAAAAUCUGGCCAUUUGCAAUGUCAUGGAUGGAGCUAAAGAGUAUUAUGUCAAGCAAAAUAAGUCAGUCAGAGAAAGACAUAUACCAUAUGAUUUCACUCAUAUGCAGAAUUAAGAAAUGAAACAAAUGAACAUAAGGGAGAAAAAAAGAGGCAAACCAGAAAACAGACUCAACUAUAGAGAACAAACUGAAGGUUACUGGAAGAGAGGUGAACAAGGAGAUGGGUUAAAUGGGUGAUGGGUAUUAAGGAGGGCACUUGUUAUGAUGAGCACUGGGUGUUGUAUGUAAGUGAUGAGUCACUAAAUUUUACACCUGAAACUAAUAUUACACUGUAAUACUACACUGUAUGUUAACUAACUGGAAUUUAAAUAAAAACUUUGGGGAAAAAGAGUGGAAUACUCUAAUAACUGAACCAGCCAGGUGCCCCAAGAAGAGAUUUUUUAUUUUAUUUUAUUUUUUAUUUUAGAGAAAGAGCAUGAGCAGGAGGAGCAAAGGGAGAGGGAGAGAGAAUCUCAAGCAGACUCCACGCUGAGUGUGGAGCCUGACUUGGGGCUAGAUCCCAGGACCCUGAGAUUGAGCUAAGCUGAAACCAUGAGUUGAAGACUUAACCAACUGCACCACCCAGGCACCCCUAGAAGAGAUUUUUAAAAAGUGUUUGAAAAGGUGGAAAACUUCAAGAGCGAGUUGAAAUGUAUAGAAAGGAAUCAAAUAGACACUCCAAAACUGAAAAUACAACACUGAAAUAAUGAAUUCAUUAAGUGGGUUUAAAAGCAGAUUAAAAAGACCACUGAACUUAAAAACAGGUCCAAUGGGGAUCCCUGGGUGGCGCAGCGGUUUGGCGCCUGCCUUUGGCCCAGGGUGCGAUCCUGGAGACCCGGGAUCGAAUCCCACAUCAGGCUCCCGGUGCAUGGAGCCUGCUUCUCCCUCUCCCUCUCCCUCUGCCUAUGUCUCUGCCUCUCUCUCUCUCUGACUAUCAUAAAUAAAUAAAAAUUAAAAAAAAAAAACAGGUCCAAUGAAAAAUACCCAAACUGAAGCAUAAAAAGAAAAAAGAUGAGAAAAACAGAACAUAAAAAAUGUUAAUGAAAUAUUCUACAUUCUUUUUUUUCAUACUGUCUUCCAAAUCUAGUGAGUUUUACUUUUGCAGUGCAUCUUAAUUUGAACUAGCUACAACACGGCACCUGGCUAGCUCAGUUGGUGGAGCAUCCAACUUUUGAUCUCAGGGUCAUGAGUUCAAGCCCCACACUGGGCAGAAACCUACUUUAAAAAAAAAAAAAAGAACUAGGUGCAUCAAAUACUUAAUAGCCACAUGCAGCCUAGUAGCUACCAAAUUGGACAAAACUCUAGACAUGUCAAUAUUUUUCUUUACUUAUUAUAAUCAUUACCACAUAAGUCAGUAAAUUCAGUCAAAGUAAAUCAAGGGGACGCUUGGGUGGCUCAGGGAUUGAGCAUCUGCCUUGGGCUCAGGCAUGACCCUGGGGUCCCGGGAUCGAGUCUCACAUCGGGCUCCCUGCAUGGAGCCUGCUUCUUCCUCGGUCUGUGUCUCUGCUUCUCUCUCGGUGUCUUUCAUGAAUAAAUAAAUAAAAUCUAAAAAAAAAAAAAAAAAAAAAAA
rnacentral:lncRNA from 1 species